UACGUAGGUGGCGAGCGUUGUCCGGAAUCACUGGGCGUAAAGGGCGCGUAGGCGGCUGGGGAAGUCGGCGGUGAAAGCCCGGAGCUCAACUCCGGGUCGGCCGUCGAGACUCCUCGGCUCGAGCUCACUAGAGGCAGAUGGAAUUCCGGGUGUAGCGGUGGAAUGCGUAGAGAUCCGGAAGAACACCAGUGGCGAAGGCGGCCCGCUGGGCAGUGGCUGACGCUGAGGCGCGACAGCGUGGGGAGCAAACAGG
rnacentral:rRNA from 1 species